GACGAACGCUGGCGGCGUGCUUAACACAUGCAAGUCGAACGAUGAACCCGGAGCUUGCUCCGGUGGAUUAGUGGCGAACGGGUGAGUAACACGUGAGUAACCUGCCCUUGACUCUGGGGUAACUGCGGGAAACUGUAGCUAAUACCGGAUACGACCCUCGGCGGCAUCGCCAGGGGGUGGAAAGAAUUUCGGUCAAGGAUGGACUCGCGGCCUAUCAGCUAGUUGGUGAGGUAACGGCUCACCAAGGCGACGACGGGUAGCCGGCCUGAGAGGGUGACCGGCCACACUGGGACUGAGACACGGCCCAGACUCCUACGGGAGGCAGCAGUGGGGAAUAUUGCACAAUGGGCGAAAGCCUGAUGCAGCGACGCCGCGUGAGGGAUGACGGCCUUCGGGUUGUAAACCUCUUUCAGCAGGGAAGAAGCGCAAGUGACGGUACCUGCAGAAGAAGCACCGGCUAACUACGUGCCAGCCGCCGCCGUAA
rnacentral:rRNA from 1 species